UACAGAGGGGGCAAGCGUUGUUCGGAAUUACUGGGCGUAAAGAGCUCGUAGGCGGUUUGUUGCGUCGGCUGUGAAAUCCCGAGGCUCAACCUCGGGUCUGCAGUCGAUACGAGCAAACUAGAGUGUUGCAGGGGAGACUGGAAUUCCUGGUGAUAGCGGUGAAAUGCGCAGAUAUCAGGAGGAACACCGGUGGCGAAGGCGGGAUCCUGGGCCAUUGCUGACACUGAGGCGCGAAAGCUGGGGGAGCAAACAGG
rnacentral:rRNA from 1 species